rnacentral:rRNA from 1 species
CGGCGUGCCUAAUACAUGUAAGUAGAACGCUGAGAGAGGAGCUUGCUCUUCUUGGAUGAGUUGCGAACGGGUGAGUAACGCGUAGGUAACCUGCCUUGUAGCGGGGGAUAACUAUUGGAAACGAUAGCUAAUACCGCAUAACAAUGGAUGACACAUGUCAUUUAUUUGAAAGGGGCAAUUGCUCCACUACAAGAUGGACCUGCGUUGUAUUAGCUAGUAGGUGAGGUAAUGGCUCACCUAGGCGACGAUACAUAGCCGACCUGAGAGGGUGAUCGGCCACACUGGGACUGAGACACGGCCCAGACUCCUACGGGAGGCAGCAGUAGGGAAUCUUCGGCAAUGGGGGCAACCCUGACCGAGCAACGCCGCGUGAGUGAAGAAGGUUUUCGGAUCGUAAAGCUCUGUUGUAAGUCAAGAACGGGUGUGAGAGUGGAAAGUUCACACUGUGACGGUAGCUUACCAGAAAGGGACGGCUAACUACGUGCCAGCAGCCGCGGUAAUACGUAGGUCCCGAGCGUUGUCCGGAUUUAUUGGGCGUAAAGCGAGCGCAGGCGGUUUGAUAAGUCUGA